rnacentral:tRNA from 1 species
GGGCGGUUAGCUCAGUUGGCUAGAGCGUCGUGCUAAUAACGCGAAUGUGGUGGGUUCGAUCCCCGUACUGGACA